rnacentral:rRNA from 1 species
UACGUAGGGAGCAAGCGUUUGUCCGGAUUUAUUGGGCGUAAAGAGCUCGUAGGCGGCUUAGAAAGUCAGGUGUGAAAACUCUGGGCUCAACCCAGAGACGCCACUUGAUACUUCUAUGGCUUGAGUUCGGUAGGGGACCAUGGAAUUCCUGGUGUAGCGGUGAAAUGCGCAGAUAUCAGGAGGAACACCGAUGGCGAAGGCAGUGGUCUGGGCCGAUACUGACGCUGAGGAGCGAAAGCGUGGGGAGCGAACAGG